rnacentral:rRNA from 1 species
CGGCGAGUGAAGCGGCAACAGCUCAAAUUUGAAAUCUGGUCACCUUACGGAGGCCCGAGUUGUAAUUUGAAGAGGAUGCUUUUGGCGAGGUGCCUUCCGAGUGCCCUGGAACGGGACGCCACAGAGGGUGAGAGCCCCGUAUGGUUGGACACCGAGCCUAUGUAAAGCUCCUUCGACGAGUCGAGUAGUUUGGGAAUGCUGCUCAAAAUGGGAGGUAAACCCCUUCUAAAGCUAAAUAUUGGCCAGAGACCGAUAGCGCACUAGUAGAGUGAUCGAAAGAUGAAAAGCACUUUGAAAAGAGAGUUAAACAGCACGUGAAAUUGUUGAAAGGGAAGCGCUUGCGACCAGACUUGCGCCCGUCGGAUCAACCGUCGCUUGUCGGCGGCGCACUCCGGCGGGCUCAGGCCAGCAUCAGUUUUCCCGGGGGGAGAAAGGCGGUGGGAAUGUAGCUCCUAGGAGUGUUAUAGCCCGCCGCGUAAUACCCUCGGGGGGACUGAGGACCGCGCAUCUGCAAGGA